rnacentral:rRNA from 1 species
GAUGAACGCUGGCGGCGUGCCUAAUACAUGCAAGUCGAGCGGUAACACUUCGGGUGACGAGCGGCGGACGGCAGAGUAACACGCAGGAACGUACCCCAAACUGAGGGAUAACUGCCUGAAAAGGUAGCUAAUACCGCAUGUGAUCUUCGGAUUAAAGCUUCGGCGGUUUGGGAACGGCCUGCGCAUGAUUAGCUUGUUGGUGAGGUAAAAGCUCACCAAGGCGACGAUCAUUAGCUGGUCUGAGAGGAUGAUCAGCCUGACUGGAACUGAGAACGGUCCAGACUCCUACGGGAGGCAGCAGUAGGGAAUUUUCCACAAUGGGCGAAAGCCUGAUGGAGCAACGCCGCGUGCAGGAUGAAUGCCUUCGGGUUGUAAACUGCUUUUAUCUGUGACGAUUUUGACGGUAGCAGAUGAAUAAGGAUCGGCUAACUCCGUG